rnacentral:rRNA from 1 species
AAAAGCUUGCUUUUCCGCCGGCGACCGGCGCCGGGUGCGCACCGCGUAUGGAACCUGCCUUGUACAGGGGAAUAGCCCAGGGAAACUUGGAUUAAUGCCCCGUAGUACCGUAUUUCGGCAUCGUUAUACGGUUAAAGCCUUCGGGCGGUACAAGAUGGCCAUGCGUCCCAUUAGCUUGUUGGUAAGGUAACGGCUUACCAUGGCUACGAUGGGUAGGGGCCCUGAGAGGGGGAUCCCCCACACUGGUACUGAGACACGGACCAGACUCCUACGGGAGGCAGCAGUGAGGAAUAUUGGACAAUGGAGGAGACUCUGAUCCAGCCAUGCCGCGUGCAGGAAGAAUGCCCUAUGGGUAGUAAACUGCUUUUAUACGGGAAGAAAAAGAGCUACGUGUAGCUUACUGACGGUACCGUAAGAAUAAGGACCGGCUAACUCCGUGCCAGCAGCCGCGGUAAUACGGAGGGUCCGAGCGUUAUCCGGAAUUAUUGGGUUUAAAGGGUCCGUAGGCGGGCCGAUAAGUCAGGGGUGAAAGUCUGCCGCUCAACGGUAGAACUGCCUUUGAUACUGUCGGUCUUGAGUUAUAGUGAAGUUGCCGGAAUAUGUAGUGUAGCGGUGAAAUGCAUAGAUAUUACAUAGAACACCGAUUGCGAAGGCAGGUGACUAACUAUAUACUGACGCUGAUGGACGAAAGCGUGGGGAGCGAACAGGAUUAGAUACCCUGGUAGUCCACGCCGUAAACGAUGGAUACUAGCUGUCCGGAACCUUGAGUUCUGGGCGGCCAAGCGAAAGUGAUAAGUAUCCCACCUGGGGAGUACGUUCGCAAGAAUGAACUCA